UUUUUUUUUUCUUAAAUCAACCCUUCCCUUAUAACAUUCCUUUACUUUACUUUUCUUUUUCUGUCCAUGUAUUUUUUUUUUAAAUGUUGUAAUAUCCCUUUAUAAUCUUAAUUAGAGAUUAUGCUAUUUUGAUUGCUGAUUAGAUUAGUUGUUUCUCUGUAGAGACUUCCCUAAAUUAUACAUGUAUCUGAGCAUUGUUAUGAAGAACGGUGAAGAAUCCAGUGUUAAUUGUUACUUUUGAAAAUUUUCUAUCAUUUUAUUUUUGAAGAGACCACAUAAUUUAAGCGACAGGCACCUGAUGUUGAACAUUUUUAUUUUUUAUAAUUAAAGCCUUAAUUAUUUUUCUUUUUUAAAACUGCAUAUAGUUUAUUUGAAAAUCAAUAUAUCUUUUGAAUGCAAAAACUUAAUUAUUUUUCAACUAAAUGAUAACUUUUACUGUACAUAUAUACAAAAUACAUGCAUAUAUGAGAACAUAUUUUUUUUUUUUAAAUUUUACUGAUUUUUAUAGUUUAGAAUUCUAUUUAGUUAAUAUAGCCUCAUCCCACUUAAUUCUCCAAAUGUUUAAUAUAAAAACAAUAUAAGAGUUAUAAACUUUUUUAAUGUACAUGUAAAAAUCUUAAACAAAGGGGUAUAUUUUGGAUAAAGGAAUUAUCAAAUUUUGUUUAUAUAGGAGCAAACAACAAUGUUAACAAUGUUAAUUUAAAUAUCUGAGUGAACUACAAAAACAUAUUUGUUCAUAAUUUUGUUGUUUCUUUAUAUAUUUAUAAGUUAUAUAUUUACAAGUAACAACGUACUUUUAGUGCAAUACACGAAAUAUCAAUAAUACAUAUGAUGUACUUACUUAAUGUUGACACAAAUAAUUAUAUUUUACCUAUUAUUGUUGCAUUUCAGAAUUUAUGCUAACCUUACUAUUUUGCAAGUUAAUAAAAUAAAAUGUAUGCAUUU
rnacentral:sRNA from 1 species